rnacentral:lncRNA from 1 species
AAAAAUGCUACCUUGGCUUUCAAAAAUUCAAGAUUUCCAUCUCAUUUCUUUUUAAAAGGACCUAGGAACGUUAUUCCUUCCAAGAUGGCAAUAAUAAUCCUUUCUUAAGGAUUGGAAUUCAAAAGCUCUAAUCCUUUCUUAAGGAUUGGAAUUCAGAAGCUUUCUUUAGCUAAGUUUCAUUCAAAUUAACAGAAGCAAAUUCAUUUCAAACAACAAUUUGCAACUCUGCCUUUGGCUUCAUUUCAAGAACGUUGGGAACAAAGCUAAAGCAAUUUCAGUCACAAGAUUUAAAGAGGCUUGAAGCAAUUUCAACGUUGGGAACAAAUCUAACAUUUAAAAUUACAUCUCAUUCUGGAAGCCAAAAACGCUAGGAGCACAAGACCAUUUCGUUCCAAUUUCGUUCAAGAAUUUCGCGGAAACAGGUAUGUUAAGAUUAUCCCUUCUUUCUUUGGCAUGAUCCAUACGAUAUGAACGAAACGUGCAAAUGCACAAAUUCCAUAAGUGACUCUACUCAUAGAAGUAAUAGAAAUAUUUAUGUUCUUUAAUUCUCAUGUGUCAUAAUAUUUUAUCAUCUAUUCACGGGUCUCAGAAAAAUAUGAAAGUUGAAAAGAUGUUACUUUAUGAUAUUGCUCAAGAGGCAAAGUGGUCUUAUGACCUUCCGAAUGAUUUUAUUGACGUACUUUUCAUGCAUUGCAUUCAUGUGCAUUGAACCAUGACCUGAUGGCAUUAUAUACGCGUAUAUAUGUAAAUAUAUGUAUAUGGAAUGGGAAAAGGUUACGGCGUUAUAUACGCACCACCACCUGAUCAGCUGGUAUAUGAUGAUGAUGUUGCCCACAAUGGCUGAAAUAUGAUUCAAACGGCGUUAUAUACGCAUAUAUGGGUAUGUAUUCAAAUGGCGUUAUAUACACAUAUAAAUGUAUGUAUUCAAACGGCGUUAUAUACGCGUAUAUAUGUAUGUAUAUAUAUGUAUAUGGGAUAUGAGAAUGGUUAUGGCGUUAUAUACGCACCACCACCUGAUCAGCUGGUAUACGAUUAUGACUUUGCCCACAGUGGCCGAUAUGAUAUGAUGGGAUGCCCUCAGAGGCUUAUGAUGUUAUGAAACAUAUACCUAUGCACGACAUGACAUUCAUACUCAUAUGCAUGAUGCUGAAAGUAAUUUAUGAUUUACAAAGUUAUUAAGGCUUACGGGUUGGGUCAUGUACUCUAUAUUUCUUCCAUGUCUCUGAUGUACUUACUUAUGUGCCUUACAUACUCGGUACAUUAUUCGUACUGACGUCCCUUUUGCCUGGGGAUGCUGCAUUUCAUGCCCGCAGGUCCUGAUAGACAGGUCGAGAGCCCUCCAACUAGGCUAUCAGCUCAGCGGAAGAUGUUGGUGCGCUCCAUUUGCUUCAGAGUUGCAUAUUUGGUUAGUAUGAUUUAGACGUCUAUUGUUUAGUAUGGCGGGACUCUGUCCUGACAUUUGUGACUCUUAUGUACUCUUAGAGGCUUGUAGACAUAUGUCGUGUACGUGAAAGAUUGUACGGCCCUGUCAACCUAUGGUUGAGUUUAUAAAUGAUUAUGUUAGCCUAUUAGGCCCAUAUGUCACAUGUAUAUAAUGAUGUAAUAAGAAAGGUACAUUAUGUUGGUACUCGGUCAAGUAAGGUACUGGGUGCCCGUCGCGGCCCAUCGGGUUGGGUCGUGACAAAAGUGGUAUCA